rnacentral:rRNA from 1 species
UACGGGGGGUGCAAACGUUGCUCGGAAUUAUUGGGCGUAAAGCGCACGUAGGCGGUUUGUUAAGUCGGAUGUGAAAUCCCUCGGCUCAACUGAGGAAGUGCACCCGAAACUGGCAGGCUUGAGUACUAAAGAGGGUCGCGGAAUUCCCGGUGUAGAGGUGAAAUUCGUAGAUAUCGGGAGGAACACCGGUGGCGAAGGCGGCGACCUGGGUAGAUACGUGACGCUGAGGUGCGAAAGCGUGGGGAGCAA